UACAGAGGUCUCAAGCGUUGUUCGGAUUCAUUGGGCGUAAAGGGUGCGUAGGUGGCGGGGUAAGUCGGGUGUGAAAUUUCGGAGCUUAACUCCGAAACUGCAUUCGAUACUGGCGUGCUUGAGGACUGGAGAGGAGACUGGAAUUUACGGUGUAGCAGUGAAAUGCGUAGAUAUCGUAAGGAAGACCAGUGGCGAAGGCGGGUCUCUGGACAGUUCCUGACACUGAGACACGAAGGCCAGGGGAGCAAACGGG
rnacentral:rRNA from 1 species